AAUUACAGCGGCCACAGCAAGAACUUUUAACCUGGGUAAGCUUUUCCACUUACGAGGUGCCCUAGAAACAAGGGGGUUCUCGGCCAAGCACUCACUAAAAAAGAGUAGAGGGAAAACUAUUUUUCCGCCUCCUCCUGAGCUUCUGGUGGACAGGAUGAGACCCGCUGGGACAUCCCACUCGCUCCAGAGCCUGCAGAAUCCUGGGGAAAACUGGCAGAAGAAAGCAAAGGGAAAUACAACGACAUAGAAGCAAAACAAUGUGGACGGGAUUCUUAAAUGUGAGGAAACCAAGGGCAGAAGGACUGAGAAAGUGACAGAGCAAUGAGGAGCAAAUUCAAGACACAAUUCAGGUUCCAGUGCCUGGAGGAGGAGAACAAGGCUGUGGGCGCCAGUGGAAUCCUGAAGGACAGAGAUGUAUAGACGGGAGUCAAGG